rnacentral:rRNA from 1 species
UACGGAGGGUGCGAGCGUUGUCCGGAAUCACUGGGCGUAAAGGGCGCGUAGGCGGCUCAUGAAGGCUGUGGUGAAAGUCCGGGGCUCAACCUCGGAUCGGCCGUGGCGACUCGUGGGCUGGAGCACUGUAGAGGCGGGUGGAAUUCCGGGUGUAGCGGUGGAAUGCGUGGAGAUCCGGAAGAACACCAGUGGCGAAGGCGGCCCGCUGGGCAGUGGCUGACGCUGAAGCGCGACAGCGUGGGGAGCAAACAGG